CGUCCACAGUCAUGCAGGAUGCACCACGGCGCCCAGACCCAGCUUCCUGACCCAGCCCUGCCCCUUCCUAGCUCAGGCCAGGGCCCAGGAGACCCCUCCACAUCCCUCACCCCACCCUACCCCGUCACUUCCCUUCCACCCCCACCCCUUCACUGCCUCCCGUCCCCUCACCUCCCUCCCGCCCCCACCCCCUCACCUCCCUCUCACCCCCUCACCUUCUCCCACCCCCUCCUCUCCCUCCCACUCCCUCCCUUCCUACUCCCCUGCACCCCUCCAUGUCUGGCCCCUGGGAGGGUGACUCUGUCCUCAGUGUCCUGUCUGCCUCCACUGAUGUCUGCUGACUGCCAUUCACUCCAGGCUCAGCCUUCUCAGCCCCCUGGGCAGGACGCUGCCUCCUCCCGUCACUGCCGGACUCCCCAGGCGGAGUGCGUGGGUUUCUCACCUGGAGCUGCUGAGCCCCACCUGUGUGGGGUCCUGGGGCUGCCCCAGUCCUCACAGCAGGCUCAGCUCACGAGUUCCCACGAAGAUGAGCUUGCGUCCCUGGGGAUUUUCCGCUUGACCAGCACCCCAUGAGGCUGCCCCUGUGCAGCUGCCAGCCCAGCCCUCCCUGAGCGCCUUCCAGGGCCUGGCCCGAGGUCUGCAGGCAGGAGCCUCCCGUGCAGGCAGCACAUGAAAACUUUCAAGUUUAUUAAGGCGGAGGUUUGGCGGCACCGGCUCCGGGUUCUGAGCCCGGCUGGAGUACCUGCUCUGGCCAGGACGGGGUCCCCCCAGGCCAAGGUGUUGGUCGAAUUCCUUCAAAUCUUAGGGGAGAUUCGCAGGAAACAAGAGCGCGUCUGGACCCCAGGUCGAAACGGGCCAGGAGCAGCCAGGUGGCCGUGUGGCCCCACAUCCAGCCGCAGGCCAGUGGCAGGGCAGACCUUGGCUCUCAGAGAGCAUCUUGAGCCUGGACAGAGCCUUAUAAGGCGCUCCUGGGGCCAUGACACACACUCCAAGAAUAGCCUCCAGGCUUUGUCUUCUGACGGGCUGGCGCCAGGGUCCUGCAGAGAGUGCCCGGCAGCCAACCAGGGGCCAGUCAGGCACAUGCACACCAGCCUCCUUCCUGCCAACCCACUGGGCUGGGGUUUCCCGGGGCUGCGGGAAGGGAAGUGGAGGAAGGACGCAGCCCCGCGGCUGGCAGGUGCAGGCCUGGGCUCUCAUCCUGGUGCUGACCCCACCUGGUCAGGCAAUGCCCACACGGGACCAGACUAGGACCCUUAACCUUUUCUACUGCAUCUUGCUGGCCGGCGGGCAAAGCCUCUGUGCUCAUGGAAUGCCGUUUAAAAAUGCGUCAUGUAACAUACAGGACCCUCACCCAACCAUACUGCCAUGCGGCAAUAAAACAUUUUAACUGUGUUGAUGGCAUACAUGUGAAUCGAGUCUGGCUGCCACCACUGUCCUCUCCAUCCAGCUUCACAAGUGGCCGAGCCCCUGCAGGAAGGGCCAGCCGCAGGGCGUCUCUGGGCAUUGCCAACCAGCCAUCUGGCGGGUUCCCCGCGGAGUCAGGGCCAUUCCUCGGGCCUGUCCACCUGACCUGCUGCCUGCACACAGGCCUCACACCCUCACUCACACUCACACAUGCUCCAUCCCGACUCCAGCAGCCCUUCCCCCUCGGGGCCCAGGUGCCUCUUCCUGUCUCCCUCAUGCCUGAGGAGGGACCAGCAUCUGGUGCCCUUUGACCUUGGCCUGGUUCUGAAGUGAAUCACCCGGAAGGAAGGCGCUUGUCCUCCCGGACCCAGGUCUGCAACAGUUAUGACCACGCCCAUCCCAGUGGCCCUGCCAGACAGCAGGGCGGCCAGUCCACCUCCACGUAAUGGGCCCCAAUCCUGGAGCACAGCCUAGGAGAACUGCCAGGCUCCCAGAGCACGGCCUGCAGAGCAGAUAGACACAGGGCCAGGGCAGGAAGGGGCAGGAUGGGAGUGGGGGCAGAAGAGGCCAGAGC
rnacentral:lncRNA from 1 species